GGGCUGCAGAACUUGACUCUUGCUGGAAGCCUCAAGUUCAUCAGAAACAGUCGUGGCCCAUGUCUUUGAGGUUUGCUUCUAAGGUUAAGGUUCCAUAGCAAGUGGAGAAACCUUCAAUUGCCUUAGUGGAGUAAGAAGGACUAAGCAAAUCUCUAGUACAGAACCUUGCUGGGCUGAGAAGGAACCUCUCCUGCAGCCAAAGAGGGAGUAAGCAGAGGUCCCAGACCUCAGACCUGCCCUCUCACACCAGACCUUCUCUUCUGAGAAAAAGAGGAACCACCUAUUGCAAAUGGGCAGCAAAGAAAAAAUGUUGCAGAGUGAUAAACAUAGAGACAAAGGACCCAAUUACUGGACUACUUGACGCCAGCUCUGACCGUUUGGAAGUAAUGCAGGAAGAAGAAUUCAAGAUUCUCACUACUUUGUUCCUUAUCACAUACCCCAGACUGCAAGCCCCACCUAUAUAAUUCCCUCAGAUUCCUCAAAGUGGGGCACAGUUCUUGAGAUGCUAGCCUGAGGUGUUCUCUCACCCAUCUUUCUAUUUGCUCCAAAACCUUGUCUCCAUAUUUUUAUUUAGCAUCAGUGGAGAGGGAGCCAGGAUUUUGGCA
ensembl:lncRNA